GGAGAAUCCUGGGAACUGUAGUCUGUUAUGGGUGCUGCUAAUUGCAGCUCUGCAAGGUCAGCACCUUUAACAAACUACAGUUUCCAGGAUCCUCC